ensembl:lncRNA
UCUUUAUUAAACUUUGGUUAUCGGAAAAUGUUUUAUUCAAGUUGCUACUUCCCAAAUUGCUACUUCCCAAAUUUAUAUGAUUGUGCAAGUUAUUCAUAUGCAUUUUUUUAUCCAUGGCGUUGUCAAGUUUUAUAUGUUCUAUUUCCGAUAACCAAAGUUUAAUAAAGAAUUAUAAUUUGUAUGAAAACAUGAAUAACAGUAGAACCCCUAUAAUAACAAAACCACCAACAUUGUAUAAUAGAACUUCUGAAAAUAACAACUUAGGUUCGAAUAUUAAAAAUAAAAACAUUCAUGGAUUUAUUUCUAGGCCAUAUGUUAAAAAUGGUAAUACUAAUAACAACAAUAGCGACAAUGUACAAUAUUUACAUAAAAAUGAACCAAAUUCAAAAUGGAAUUUGCCGAUUCAAAAUAUGUCAACUACAAUGACUUCUAAUAGGAGUUCCAAUGUAGGACCCUCUAAUAAAAAUUUUGUUACAGAAAAACAUGCGUAUCCCCAAAAAUAUAACACCCAUGAUGGUACUAAUAAUUUUAAUUAUUCUCAUAUAUCUGAAGCAAUAAAUAUGUUGAGUAAUUUAAAAAAUGUAAAUAACAAUGCUAAUAAUAAUGACAAUUUUGGUUAUACAAAAAAUGUAAAUAAUUAUUCCAAUCCAUUAAAUGCUGAUUUAAAUCCAUUAACUACGAACUUAAAUCCAUUAACUACGAAUAUUGAUUCUAAGGAUUGUAUUUAUGAUAACGUUGUGCGUGAUAACAUGCAUAUAAAUAUAAAAAAUUAUAAUGUAACAGCAAAUGAACAACUGAUAAAUAACAACCAAUCAAUUAAAAUACUAAAUGAAAGUUUUAACAAAAUUAAAAAUUAUUCAAAUAAAAUAAAUCCUGAUGUUUAUCCAACCCAUUCCAAUAUCCAUAAUGGUUAUUCAGAUAUACCUAAACCUGAUAGUAAUAAUAAUAAUAAUAAUAAUAAUAAUAUGUUUGAUUUUAUUUUUAAAAAAGAUGGGUAUAAUAAUAAUAAUAAUAAAAGUUAUAUCCAUAACAAUAAUAAUGAUAACAUUGAAGUAAAUACAUUUACUGAUACAGAUGGUUUAUAUAUGAAUACAAAUACAUAUAAUAACGAAUCAUUACCACACAGAUAUAACAAUCCAAAACAAAUGCAAAAAGUAAAUGAUAAUACCUUAGUUAAAGAUCCUUUUGAAUUUUAUAACAAUUAUAAUAAUGAACAGAAGGAGAAGGAGGAGGAAGAAGAAAUAAACGAUAAAAAUGUCAAAAUAAACCGAAUGCAAGGAAAAGAAAACAUAAUUACUAACUAUGAAGAACAUAAAGAUGUACUUAUUAAUGAUAAAACGAAUAUAAAUCAAAAUAUAACAGUUGAUAAAAAAAGAGGAUAUAUUACGAACUUUUUACACAAGACAUUUAACAAAUUCGUACCAAAUACGAACACAUAUGACGAGGUAAUUACAGCAAAAAAUGGAGCACAGACUGGAGAAGGUACAAUUAACAAAACACCUGAUGGAAAUAACCUUUUAAAUAAUAACAAAACAAAUAUAAAUGACUUAUUAAAUAACAUUUUCGAAAAAUAUAAACAGUUUGAGCAGAUUAAAGAAAAUCAUAAGGAAAACAUAACAUAUACAUAUCCCCCACCAAGCAUAUACAAAGACAACGAAAUUACUAAAAAUGAUUUAAUAAUAAAAUUUAAUUGUUAUAAAUAUGAAAAUAUAUCUUUGUAUUUAAAUUAUAAGACUACUACGAGUCCUAAUUUAAUGGAAACAAAAACCAAAACUAAUAAAUUUCCUAUUUUACCAUUACAAGG